rnacentral:rRNA from 1 species
CCUACGGGAGGCAGCAGUGAGGAAUAUUGGUCAAUGGGCGAGAGCCUGAACCAGCCAAGUCGCGUGAAGGAUGAAGGUUCUAUGGAUUGUAAACUUCUUUUGUCCGAGGGUAAAAAAGUCCACGUGUGGAUUCUUGCAAGUAUCGGACGAAUAAGCAUCGGCUAACUCCGUGCCAGCAGCCGCGGUAAU